GGUCCGAGCUCCGCAGCGCCCUGCCCGGCACAGACCAGCCUGCACCGAGGGCCUGCGGAGGCGACGCUUCGAAUCUCAGGCCCAUGGCAGCCCUUUCUCAUGGGCCUGCAGCCCACGGCCGGUGCCGAGGCUGGACACCGUGACUUGCUUCCAAGGAAUAGAAUAUGACAGAAGUGAUGCGAUGUCACUUCCAAGAUUAGUUGGGCCUGGUCUCUCGCUCUCCCAUCAACCAGCCGCCGGGUCACCGGAACACUUAGGCAGCCUAAGGCGAGCAUGACCAGGAACGGAAGCCUGCCAACAACCACCAUCGGGCCCUACUGCCUGAGAGGCACAGAGAAGUGACAGUCCCAGGAUCCCUAAAUCCCCAAACCACGCGUGUCCCAACCUAGUGGUCCCUGGAGAUGGUGCUUCUCCAGCAGCCCACACAGGUGGAGGGCGAUCCAUCUUCUCAGCUGGCCUCGGCUCCGCCUCUGGGUUCUCCUGACCGAAGAAAGCCUGGGCCGGGCGGGCGGAGGUCUGCAAUCUACCACAGGAGCCGCAGCUGGCCGCGUUCUCUCUGAACUGUUGGGGGGCAGGGCCGGCAUCUAGGCAAAGCUACGUGUGAUGUGGGACUUUUAAGCAGAGGCUCCUCCUCGGUGUGGUUUCAAACACUGUCAUUGUGUGUUUGGAUAACGUCUGCAUUAGCCCUCCAAGAAGGCUGGGAAUGAAGGAUGUCUAAGUAUAACCAUGGGACACCGUUUGAGAACUGCCUGUGGGUCGCAUGGAAGAACCUCACCUAGAGGUAUAAGAUAGCAGGAAAAUCAAAUCCACCACCCAUCCCCCUGUCCCAGCCCCGAGCGCCACCCAGGUAGAGAAGGGAGGGAAAAACCCCAGCUGUGGAGGUCAAACCGGGCUCCGGACAUGUCUGCCCCUCCCGGGUGCCAGAAGGGAAAACACCACAGGGUGGGGUUGGAGCGCUGGGGGGAGGCCUGUCCCCCUGGAGCUGCCAGGCUGCCAAUGUUGGGGAAGGCUGUGCAGGUGGUUUGUGGAGCCGGUGGGCCAGCGCCUUAUAACACUCCGGGCCUGUGGAGGCAGCUUUUAUUAGAAACCUUCCAUUUCUCUGGCAUGUCCCUACGCUAGCCAAACCACCGCUGGCAAACAGUCUGGCUGUCCUUAGCCCCAGGGGGAUGUGAUUUCAUUCCAGGCGGGCGGGGGAUGGGAGUGUGGACAAAGGGCAUUGGGCUGGGCGGACAGAAACGUGGGCUCCAGGCCCGGCGGUGCUGUAACUUACAGUGGGACCUUGACCCUGAACCAGUCAGCCCCCUCUCCCUCCCUCUGCGCCAAGGUUCCUUCAUCAGGAAAACGCACAGGUGCCUCCUAGGUGCUCUGCACCCUCCUCCCGCAGAGGCUGCCCUCCCAUGGCUCCUCCAUUGGCUCCUACCCGGGCUGGGGCCGGAGCGCUAGCCGAGCGCAGGGGAACCGCUCUCGGACCCCGGCCGGUGGUUUGGGCCGCCUCCCUGCUUCAGGCCCAGGUGGUGAACUCUCCGUUGAGCAAGUGUCCGGAGCUGGAAAAGGAGGUCAGUGGGAGGCCGUGCACCCCGACUGCGAGCCAGACGC